UCUUAUGCUCUACCUGAUUUCCUAAAACUAUUAAACAUACUUUGUUUGAUCUUUGCCUCCCACAGUGUUUGAUUACCAACCUGUGCUUGUUGUCCUUCCGUAGUAGCUCGGCUGGUACGAACGGAAUCAGUGCCAUGUGACAUCAACAACCCUCUUAAGUACACCGACCUGCACAUCAGUCAGACGCUCCCCAAAACCAACAAAAUCAACAAGGAUCACAUCCCAGUUCCGAACCACCCAGACUCUAGCAGUAACCCUUCAUCCACCACCUCAUCCACGCCAUCCUCUCCGGCGCCUCCCUUGCCCAACAGUGCAACCCCUCCCUCACCACUACACCCUUCUCCACAGUCAGCACGGCAACAGAAGCAGUUCAACCUGACAGCCUCGAGUUAUUUCAAAUACAAACAGCAGUUCAUCUUUCCAGAUGUCACACCAGAGGCUCCGCCCAGCAGAGCGCCUCAAGUGAUUCUACACCCUGUACUGUCAGAACCAGGG